rnacentral:misc_RNA from 1 species
GAUGAAGAACGUAGCGAAAUGCGAUACUUGGUGUGAAUUGCAGAAUCCCGUGAACCAUCGAGUCUUUGAACGCAAGUUGCGCCUCAAGCCAUUAGGUUGAGGGCACGUCUGCCUGGGCGUCACAUAUCGUUGCCUGAUGCCAGUUUCCUCGUGAUGGGUGACUGUGCAGGGCGAAUGAUGGCUUCCCGUGAGCAUUGUUGCCUCAUGGUUGGUUGAAAAUUGAGUCCUUGGUAGGGAGCGCCGUGAUAGAUGGUGGUUGAGUGACGAACGAGACCCAAUCAUGUGAGACCCCUACCGAAGUUGGCCUUCAUGACCCACAUGCGUCUUUGGAACGCUCAUGACGAGACCUCAGGUCAGGCGGGGCUACCCGCUGAGUUUAAGCAUACAAUAAGCGGAGGA